rnacentral:rRNA from 1 species
GAUGAACGCUGGCGGCGUGCUUAACACAUGCAAGUCGAACGGAAAGGCCCAAGCUUGCUUGGGUACUCGAGUGGCGAACGGGUGAGUAACACGUGGGUGAUCUGCCCUGCACUUCGGGAUAAGCCUGGGAAACUGGGUCUAAUACCGGAAAGGACCACAUUUUGGAUGGUGUGGUGGAAAGUUUUUCGGUGUGGGAUGAGCUCGCGGCCUAUCAGCUUGUUGGUGGGGUAAUGGCCUACCAAGGCGUCGACGGGUAGCCGGCCUGAGAGGGUGUACGGCCACAUUGGGACUGAGAUACGGCCCAGACUCCUACGGGAGGCAGCAGUGGGGAAUAUUGCACAAUGGGCGCAAGCCUGAUGCAGCGACGCCGCGUGGGGGAUGACGGCCUUCGGGUUGUAAACUCCUUUCGCUAGGGACGAAGCGUUAUGUGACGGUACCUGGAGAAGAAGCACCGGCUAACUACGUG